UGCCCCAUGGCUGAGUUGGUUACAGCGUCUGACUGUUAUGGGCUUCUGUCGGCGGCGAAUGUUGAAUGUUCAAUCGGAAGGUCGUGAGUUCUAGCCUCACUGGGGUAG